GAAUUUUUCACAAUGGGCGAAAGCCUGAUGGAGCGACGCCGCGUGGGGGAUGAAUGGCUUCGGCCCGUAAACCCCUGUCAUUCGCGAGCAAACGUUAUUAUUUAAAAGAUGAUAGCCUGAUAGUAGCGAAAGAGGAAGGGACGGCUAACUCUGUGCCAGCAGCCGCGGUAAUACAGAGGUCCCAAGCGUUGUUCGGAUUUACUGGGCGUAAAGGGUGCGUAGGUGAUGGGGUAAGUCGGAUGUGAAAUCUCCGAGCUCAACUCGGAAAGUGUAUUGGAAACUACCCUGCUCGAGGGUUGGAGGGGGGACUGGAAUACUUGGUGUAGCAGUGAAAUGCGUAGAUAUCAAGUGGAACACCAGUGGCGAAGGCGAGUCCCUGGACAACUCCUGACACUGAGGCACGAAAGCUAGGGGAGCAAACAG
rnacentral:rRNA from 1 species